GGUAAGGACGCUGCCUGUUCAUGCAGUCGAGCGGACAGAAGGGAGCUUGCUCCCGGAUGUUAGCGGCGGACGGGUGAGUAACACGUGGGUAACCUGCCUGUAAGACUGGGAUAACUCCGGGAAACCGGAGCUAAUACCGGAUAGUUCCUUGAACCGCAUGGUUCAAGGAUGAAAGACGGUUUCGGCUGUCACUUACAGAUGGACCCGCGGCGCAUUAGCUAGUUGGUGGGGUAAUGGCUCACCAAGGCGACGAUGCGUAGCCGACCUGAGAGGGUGAUCGGCCACACUGGGACUGAGACACGGCCCAGACUCCUACGGGAGGCAGCAGUAGGGAAUCUUCCGCAAUGGACGAAAGUCUGACGGAGCAACGCCGCGUGAGUGAUGAAGGUUUUCGGAUCGUAAAGCUCUGUUGUUAGGGAAGAACAAGUGCGAGAGUAACUGCUCGCACCUUGACGGUACCUAACCAGAAAGCCACGGCUAACUACGUGCCAGCAGCCGCGGUAAUACGUAGGUGGCAAGCGUUGUCCGGAAUUAUUGGGCGUAAAGGGCUCGCAGGCGGUUUCUUAAGUCUGAUGUGAAAGCCCCCGGCUCAACCGGGGAGGGUCAUUGGAAACUGGGAAACUUGAGUGCAGAAGAGGAGAGUGGAAUUCCACGUGUAGCGGUGAAAUGCGUAGAGAUGUGGAGGAACACCAGUGGCGAAGGCGACUCUCUGGUCUGUAACUGACGCUGAGGAGCGAAAGCGUGGGGAGCGAACAGGAUUAGAUACCCUGGUAGUCCACGCCGUAAACGAUGAGUGCUAAGUGUUAGGGGGGUUUCCGCCCCUUAGUGCUGCAGCUAACGCAUUAAGCACUCCGCCUGGGCGAGUACGGUCGCAAGACUGAAACUCAAAGGAAUUGACGGGGGCCCGCACAAGCGGUGGAGCAUGUGGUUUUAAUUCGAAGCAACGCGAAGAACCUUACCAGGUCUUGACAUCCUCUGACAACCCUAGAGAUAGGGCUUUUCCUUUCGGGGACAGAGUGACAGGUGGUUGCAUGGGUUGUCGUCCGCUUCGUGUCCGUGA
rnacentral:rRNA from 1 species